rnacentral:rRNA from 1 species
GAGCAAYGAGUAUCGACUGGAGGAUCAGUCUGGUGCCAGCACCCGCGGUAAUUCCAGCUCCAGGAGCGUAUACUAAUGUUGCUGCCGUUAAAACGCUCGUAGUUGAUUUUUGAGGUGAUCAGUGCCAGAGAGCUUGCGUGGUUGGCCGUGUGGUUGCCCCUGCCUCGGCAGGCGGCGCUGUAUGGCUCGCUGUGCUUUGCUUGGGCGGCGCCCUGCCGUCCGCCUCUGGAGGUCUGACACCUCCCUUCAGAGCGGAAUCGGUUCUCCCUGCGAAGGCCUCCUUGAUUGGUGGUCGAUGCGACGAACUCACAACCGUGACAUGUCUCGWGCUACAGAAAUGGGAGCGUCCGUAUGCGUUACUAUGAACAAAGCAGUGUGCCCAAGGGCAGGCAUUGAGUUGCCAGCAUGGUCAAGCAUGGGAUGACAGGGCAACGACCGGGUCGUUUGUCUUCUUCUAUCUGCUAGUCUCGCGACACUGCUUGGGUAAGUAUGGGCCUGUCGUGCCGCCUUGCACCAAACGGUGCACCGCAUGGUGCCCGCGAGGU